rnacentral:tRNA from 1 species
GUUUAAAUAGCUUAAAUUUUAAAGCUUAUUAUUGAAGAUAAUAAAAUGAUUACUUAAAUCUUUAAACA